GGCAUCCAAAGGAUUAUAACCCGAAAACAAAUGCAUAGUUCAAAUCUAGAGCCCUUGCAGGCUCAAUGCGAACACCCAUUCCAUCUAAACGUCUUUCGCUCCUAUAUGAUGGAUCGC
rnacentral:snoRNA from 1 species